UACGGGGGGGGCUAGCGUUGUUCGGAAUUACUGGGCGUAAAGGGCGCGUAGGCGGUCUGCUAAGUUGGAUGUGAAAACUCUGGGCUUAACCCAGAGCCUGCAUUCAAUACUGACAGGCUAGAGUUCUGGAGGGGAUAGCGGAAUUCCUGGUGUAGCGGUGAAAUGCGUAGAUAUCAGGAGGAACACCGGUGGCGAAGGCGGCAUCCUGGACCGGCAUUGACGCUGAUGAGCGAAAGCCAGGGGAGCAAACGGG
rnacentral:rRNA from 1 species